rnacentral:rRNA from 1 species
CGGACGGGUGAGUAACACGUGGAUAACCUACCUAUAAGACUGGGAUAACUUCGGGAAACCGGAGCUAAUACCGGAUAAUAUAUUGAACCGCAUGGUUCAAUGGUGAAAGACGGUUUUGCUGUCACUUAUAGAUGAUCCGCGCCGCAUUAGCUAGUUGGUAAGGUAACGGCUUACCAAGGCAACGAUGCGUAGCCGACCUGAGAGGGUGAUCGGCCACACUGGAACUGAGACACGGUCCAGACUCCUACGGGAGGCAGCAGAC